UACAGAGGGUGCAAGCGUUAAUCGGAAUUACUGGGCGUAAAGCGUGCGUAGACGGUUAAGUAAGUCGGAUGUGAAAGCCCCGGGCUCAACCCGGGAAUUGCAUUCGAGACUGCGUAGCUAGGGUGCGGAAGAGGGAAGCGGAAUUUCCGGUGUAGCGGUGAAAUGCGCAGAUAUCAGGAGGAACACCGGUGGCGAAGGCGGGUCUCUGGGCCGGUACCGACGCUGAGGAGCGAAAGCGUGGGGAGCGAACAGG
rnacentral:rRNA from 1 species